UAACAUUUUUUCUUGUUUUUUUCUUUAUUUAGUGCGAGUUAGUUGGCGAUCAUACUUAUUUCUUUGUUUUUUACAUUUAGAAGAUACAUAUAUGCAUACAUUCAAAAACUCACCAGACAUUCAACGCAAUUGACGCAAAUAAAUAAAUGCUUACCUGAAAAGAAAAUAAAAAAUGAUUCGAUUAAAAAUAUAAAAUUUUUAUAAAUAAUGAAUUACUCAUCCUUUAGUCCAGUCAAAUUAGACCAACAAAUGAUAGUUACAUAAAUGAGAAGUUACAUAAAUUCACAACAAGCUGAAAAUUGGUAAAAUCGUUUAAAAUAUAAUUAUAAAUAAAAUUUCAGAGUUCCGCAUUUUUCCCCUGCAUGGGAAAAAUUCUAAUCAAGGUCAAAGGUCAAAAAUAAGAUUUUUGCAAAACGGUAAGUUUAAUCAUAAAAAUAUCUCAGACCAAAAUUGUAGAUUAUAAAAUUAUCUAUUGCAUAAAAAAAUGUAUUCCUACAUUUUUUCCUACGAGCCACUAUUUCAAAAAUUUAGAAAAGUUGUAAUCGUUAUAAUAUGCAUGAGUACGGCUCGUAUAUACCUACAUCUCCAGAGUUGUAAUACAGUAGAACCUCGAUAAGUUAGAGUCCAAGGAAAACACAAAAUAUUUUAAGUUAUAGAGGUUUUAAGUUAUCAAGGGUCUAUGUUAGGUAUAAGUUUAUAUAGAAGUAGGUAUGUACAUAUGUAUGUAAAGGAUUGGUGUCGUCAAAAGGAUUGGUUCAAUAAAGUGAAUGUUGUUAGUUUUCUUUAUGCACUAAUUGUAAGCCAGUUUUAUCACACAGUAGGUAAGGCGAUGUUUCCAGGAUACUGAUCAAAAACUUAUGAUUAUGAUACAAGUAGGUUGUUGCCUUAAGGCUAACCACCACAAAACUUUAAAGAAUUUCGAAGAAGCAAACAAUAGGUGAUAUAUAUAUUGUUUACAUUACACUUAAAAUAUAAGAUAUACUUGUACAUAAGCUAUAAUUAUAAGAAUAACAGGUAGAAAGAAACCCAGUCCCUUAAGUUAUACGCCAUUGUGACCCUCAGCGAACAUCCGUCUCCUGUUCUUUAGUAUGCGGGCUAUGACAAAUGAAAUACCGUCAGUCUUGAAAACUACGCUCUAGUGAAAACACGUGUUUAUUCUAACCUAUACCGUGCUGUUUUGAGUUUUAUAAUAAAAAUAUCUGAAUAUUGUUUUAUUUGUGCUAAACUAUUAGGUGGAAGUGAAGUUACUACUGUUGAACGGGUAUGAAGACAUUAAUUAAUGCAAGUAUCGAAAAAGACGAUGAAUUUUUGCAAUAUCUUAAAAAUCGGAAAUCUGUGACAAUACAUGAAAGUCGCCGUAAAAAUUAUGCUAGGAAGUCUUCUAUUGCUGCCGCUAUUAAAAGACAGCGUGAAGAACAAGAAGCCAGUACAUCUACAGCAAGUCCACCUCGUACUAGAUCAUGUGUCCGUGAGCCAGGUUUUUGUUUUAAAAAGCUGAGCUUAUUUUGUGGCUAGAAAUUGAAUGAAGAAUGUGACAAAAAAAUCCUUAGGUUUUCGCCGUCGAAUCAGCCAAGUAAGCACAUUUGAAUUUAAAAAUUCAAUUCUGAAAGUAGCUAGGAUUCACAACGAUGCUGACACAAAAUCUGUUCUUGCUCGAGUCGAAUUUUAAAAUUAUUUAGUUGCAGUUGAAACCUAAGCAGCUGCAGCUAUCAUUCGCGAAGAUAUUCGAAGCACAGUGUUUGAUAAUUCUACCUACCAUCCACCAGGUCGUCUGUUUGAAGAUUUAAACAAUGAAACCCCAGAAACGUUGACAUAUUUUGUGGAACGAGUGAUUUUAAAAAAUAAACGAUUAAAUUUAGAUCAUUUUAAUCUAAUAUGCACAAAUAUUUGCCAUAGUUUUAUGUCUAGUGUGCGACCAAGGUCAUUUGAAUCAAAAUUACAAUUAGGCCUCGUAGUUUUUUUUCAUCGAAGAUUCAGAUCUAAACGUCUUAUAUUGUACAAAUAUUUUCAUCUUUUGGUUUUUGCGUCUUAUAAUGAUACAGUAGUGUACGAGGCAGCAGCAGUUUUUCAUCGUCCUCCUUAUGUCCUACCACCAGAAAGUGGUACACUUAUUCAAUAAGUUACGUAAAAUGCUGAUAUUAAUGUUAAUACGCUAGAUGGCAAUACCACAUAAUGGGUAUUAUUUAAAUUGUUACUCCAAAAUAUUCUGUUUUGCAAGAAGAACCUAUGCCACGAAUGAAAGAAGCUCUUUCAGCAAAAGAUUUCAAGGUAAAGGCUCAUGUGCCGAUACAGAUCUAUCAAAAUAAUGAUAUAAUAGUAAUACAGUAAGAUAAAUGUCAAAGAAUUUUUUUAUGUGACUGAAAAUUUAUGGGAUCAUUACGGACAGGUGGAAUAGGCCUACUGGAAGAAACCACGUUAAAAAAUCGUGCUAAGUACACUGCCUCAUAGGUAGCGUGGAAACUAAUUCAUAAUUCUAAUCCUCCUCUAAAAUAUUUCUGAAACCAUUAACAAAGAACAAAUGUCGUCAGCAGAAUCAUUAUUUCUAGAGUUAUUCACAUUAUGACGUGCCUGAUUUCCUUGAAUAAGUUUAUUUCGACUUCGGAGAAAAUUCGCCAAAGUGUUGAAAGCGUGAAAAUGUUGGCGUAUUGCACUAACCAAACAGAGAGAGCCACUUUUUAUGUUUCUGCGAAAAUUUUAGGUCUGCAAACCAAUCUGAUUGAUGGAUUAAUGAUUGAUGAAUCACCAACAAUAAAAGCAAACAUUUAAGUGGAUGUCUAUAUAUUAGGCUUUUGGAAUUCAAAAACUUCCAACACUCUUAAACAUAAAUAUGAAACUUGAAGUACAAAGCGCCAGCGUUUAUGGUGCCAAUGUUGCGCACUUUGUGGUGCCGUCGUUUGUGGGCGUUUAUCAAUUUAUUUUCAUAAGAAUAGAAUCAGUACAUUUCCAGUUAAAUUAAAAUACAUAGUCAGGAUGCCAAUUGUAUUUUCAAUGUCAAGUGCGAAUACUUUUUUCUUUCUUUCACUUUAUUUGAUUUGUUUGUUUGUUUGAAAAGUAAAAAUUUGCAGCAUUGAAAUUAUGAAGCGAUGGAAAUUUUUUCGCAACGAUGAAUAAUACAUUAUUGGAGAAAUACAGGCGUAUCAGCUUUAGGCAGUGAAUGUAUACUCUUUCCACCUAUCCACACAAGCAUUAUUUUAACCUUCUGUCAAAGAAUUCAGAUUUGUUUGCAAAAAAAUUGGGCAGAAUUCAAUUGAUAAGAGAACAUAAUUAGAGUUAUCACCAUUAAUAUAAUAAACAAUAAUAUAAAUUCUAAGUAUGUGAUUAAGUAUUUUUUCUAUAAUUUUUAAAUUCCCCAGCGAGCGGUAACUCUCAACCGAUUCUGCUAUAGCAGCCCUCGUGAGCAAUUCAGUAAUGGGAUGAGAGAGCAUUGGAUUGAAGAAAAUAAUAUUUAUAAUAUGCUUUAAUUAGAGUAAAAGUAACACCUUUAAGUGCUUUUGAUGCAACCCAUAUGUUGUCAAUUAAUAUUACUGCAGUUAUUUGACAAAAACCAACACUGUAGUAUUUUUAUUUAACUAGCACAGACUGACCGAAAAGUUAUAAAACAAACCUCCUUACUUUCUUUAAGUUCUCGAAAUACUUGUAAACUAUUAACCGUUCCAUUAAUAUCAGUCACAACCUUCGUGAAAUACAGCUUAAAAAUGUUUAAAAGAUGUGUUACACUGUAACUUAGAAUAAUACUGUUUUCUCGCAAGCGAGAAGCAAAAUAAUUGCUUGAUUCAGUAUUGUUUUAACAUGUGUCAAAGAUGGACAACAACCAAGAGAAAAUACGCCACAUUUUACCAUUUUUCUUCGAUAAAAGCGAAAACAUAAGCCAAGUGGCUCAAAAUGUGAAUAGGUUUAUCAUCCUAAUACUGUAGGCGUCAAUCAUGCACAAUUUUAGUUUUGUUGAUUCCGUUCCGACAAUGUUGAUGUCAAAAAUGCACCACGCUCUGGAAGACCAAUUGUCGCAAAUACCAAUAAAAUAAUGUAAACACCGCUUCAUUUGCCCAGAAGUGGCCAACUUUGGCCAAUAGGAGAAAAUUUGCGUUCUAUCAGGACAACGCCAGUCCACAUAGUAUAGGCAUUCCCCAGAUGCUUCGGGACCUUAGUUGGGACAAUCUUAUGCUAUAUAUCUCUUAUAGUUUGGACCAGGUAUCAAAUGAUUACUACCUGUUCAGUGUAUGGAGAAUAAUUUUGCUGGUGAGAAACUCGCCUUUUUUCUUUCCCAAUAGGGACGAGGAUUUCUAUGAGAGGGACAAUAUAAAUUUACCUUUAAAAUGUCAGCAAGUUAUAGAAGAAAACGGUGCAUAUUUCACCCAAAUCAGAUAAUUCUACCUACGCUAAAUAAAAAUUUAAUUCAAUGCAAAAAUAAUGAAUUUCUUUUUCCUAGGCCUAAUAUUAUAUUUCUUUAGUAGUGAAUGUUAAAUAUUGAAAAUAGAUUUUAUUAACAAAAUAUAUAGAUAUAUAAGUAAAUUUUUAAUUAUUAUAAUAAUGAUGUGAUGAAGUUCUGAUAGCUGAUCGUACGAUAUAGCCUAUUCUUUCAUCUUUUCGGUUCAACGUUUUCAACCAAAUAUAUAUUUUUAACACAGUGUGUUACUGUAUUAAAUUAAUUUAAUCAGUUUGUCCGAAAUAACUUUUUAAACCAUGUGACAACUCUCCUCAAAAAUAUAUCCCAGAGAAAUUAUGCUUAAGCUUGUUUCGUUUAAAACAAUAUUUAAUUCAUUUUAACAGAAUGGAUUAAACAGUUGAUAACCCUCUUAAAUAGCUUUCUAAAUAUGUAUGACCUGAAUCUCUGAAGAAGUAAACAACUUCGGAUCACUAUAGGAUAUAGCUUGCUAUACAAACUGAACGAUCGAAAUCAAGUGUUUGCAUGGAAAACUUGCUCAUUUGACGAGAUAUCUUUACGAAAUUCAGCAUGUUUUAUUCUCUAAGGCAAUAUGUCUAUAAUAUGGAAUUACUGUUACGUAAUUUUAUAAAGUUUUGCAAAAGUACUCUCCUAAACCUUUUCGGGAACACAACUAUUUCAUUGGCUUAAGACGUGGAGUAGGAGUCAUGAGAUCGUGUAAGAGCCAAACUGGAAAUUAUGUAUGUGGUAUUAGCGCUAGAAAGAUAAAGGGUUUCAACAUUCCUUUAAGACUGAGUUAACGCAUUUUGGAUGCUCGACUUAAAAAUUGGAAGGUAUGGAACUUUAAUACAUACAUACAUAUGUAUAUAUUGAAAGCAAUAAUAAGAUGUUUUAAAUUAAAUAUAAUGAUAAUGUUUUUUUAUCAAUAAUACAGAAGAAAUUCGACAAUGUAUCCGUAGAACUAAAUUAGUAAUAAAGUUAGAGCUUUUCGUGAUGAGACUAUUGUGUUGUACUUUAAAAAAUAAAUAACAGAUUUGAAAAUUGAUCAACAGCACAAACUCUGUCUCGUAAUGCUCACUUGACAGCCAGAAAUCAAUUCAGUGUGACAUUGAACCUUACUUAUUUAAUAACAACAAAUACAAAAACAUUAGCGUGGAACGAAAAAGAACGAAAGUGAUAUUGUUGGCAUUGUGGAUGCACCAUAAGAAAGGAUAUGUUGGAUACACACCCAAAAAGACACCGGUUGCCAGAUAUUGCGUUCGUUAAUCCGCUCAUUCAUUUAUACAACAGCCAACUAAAUUUAUUGGUCAUUUCUGGCUGGCACAGUAAUGAAAAAAAGUAUUUGGUAAAUUCCACACGCACAUCCGAACAACAACAAUGAUUAGGCUAACGAAGGAUAAAAAGGCAAUGCUUUGUUCGCAGCAGGCUUGUAGCAUUCGUAAAUGAAUAGUCGUUUUAUUUUUAUUCCAUACACAAAUGCACAUACAUACAUGCAUAUACAAAUAUAUACCGAAAAUCACCGAGAAUUCAGGGAUAUGACUGGCAACACAGAAAGAGAGAGUGAGCAGGCGAGAGUGGGCAGAUUCUAAAACUAAACUUGAUAGCACAAACAGGAUGCAUAUUAUAUAUAUUUAUAUGCUUGUUUAUAUAUGUAUGAAUGAAUAUGUAUAUGACAUCUAUGGUAUAUAAAAUAAAAUGCACUGCGGAUGUUCGGAAACCUUCUAUGUUAUGCUUUAAGCCAAAAGAGAGCGCCACCCCUUGCGAAUUGUAAAAUCUAGUAAAGCUGUUUCGCAAUGAGCAAACCAUUAUUGGCUAUCAAAAUGAAGUUCAUUGGAAUUCGUUUAUGUAAUUCGAAAGUUCUAUAAGUGUACUAAACUCUGGGUGUUAUGUAUGCUUUUUUAAUAAUAUUAAGAAUGAAUUGAAAUUUGGUGAAUAUUUUAAAAUUUUUAAUAAAGCUUUUGUCGUGCUUUUGCAUCGACCACGAGCUUUUCAAUUGCAAUAUUGAUAUCAUUCAAGAAUACGUUUGUACAUAUACAUACAUUUACACAUAUGUAUGGUAUAUGCAUGUACACGUAUAUACGUAUGUGUGCAAAAAUUUCUCUGCGCGUGUGUUUUUGUUUAUCUUUUGUGGAAAGUGUCGUAUAGAAUUCAAAUCGAUUGAGGUCAAGUUUAACAGUCACCGGCUGAUGCCAAAGAAGCGCUGCAUGUUGUAAAUUUUUUUUGCAAUAUUUAAAUGCAACUACUGUGUGUCACCAAUGACAAGUGAGGUUGGGUUUUUGACAGGUAAAUUUAUCGACUGAAAUGAUUAUGUUGAACGUAUAUAAGCCAGCCCAGCUCUGAAGUGAUAUGUUUUGUAGUAAACCGAACGCUUCAAACACAUAAUUUCACACCUUUUGAACAAUUGGUUUGUAAGAGAUACCAUUUUGAGUUAGUUAAAACUAUUUUUCAGUAAAAAAAUGCUAAUGAUACGAAAGUAGUUUGAGUUUUAUAUAGGCUCCACACGUUUGGAAUAUCAUAAAAAACAUAAAGGUAUUGAAAAAUCGAUGCUAAAUGACUUCCGCGCGAGUUCACAAUCGGCAGAUUCACCCGUCCCAGAAAACAAUGAAAACGAUAGCAUAUUUUUAUGAAUUGGGGGUCGGGUUUCUUUAACAUCCGUCAUAUUAUCCGGAUUUGGCUACCAACGACUGUUACCUGUUUUUAGAUCUCAACGGAAUAUCUCCUAGGGUUCGAAAAUUGAAGAUUGUAUGCACUUAGUCUUGCAAUAAGUUCUGUUUCAAGUUCCUCAAGUACCCCAAUUCUAACCACAAACUGUAGUUCUAUGGAGUCAAAUCUGAACUCCAGGCGGUCAAUCAUUUUCAGCUAUGAAACUAGGAAUGGUUUCCACUGUUGGUUUUUGCAUUGUGUGCUGGAGCAAAAUCUUGUUGGAAGAUCUAAUGCUCUAGAUCGAAAACAGUAUUGCUCUUUGAAAAAUAAUUAGACUAUACCUGUAUCUCAUAUGUCAUGCACAGAAGUAAUAAUUCAGCAGAAAAUAUAUAUCCUAUAGAUUAUAGUAUAACUAUAGCAUACACAAGAAAACUGGAAAAACUUACUUAUCUUGAUCAUUAGUGUUGGCGGUGAAGUAACUAUGUUCCGAAGAAGAAAGGUAGGAGAAGUACGAGGUGUGUUCAAAGGAAAAGGAUAAUUUUGAUUUUUCGCGGGCUAUGUACAUUCGAUUAUCGAUAUUUUGUUUUUGUUAUAAUCGGACACAUAUGUUUAUCAUGUGCUUGCAUUUGGAGCUAAUUUCGAUUAGUAGUUUGUUUUUGACAACAGAAAAGGUUAGUCACGUUUGUGUGUGCUCUUCGAUUUUUAACUUUUGAAAAAAUUGGAUCAAAGAAUAUUUAUUAAAUUUUGCGUUAAAUAUGGAAUAAAGUGCUUCAAGGCACUUGAAAUGUUGACUGUGGCAUUCGGUGCGUUAGCUUUGUCUCAAAAAAAUUGUUCUUGAAAAUCAUGGAAUCACUAUUAGGAAAGUUGCAGAGGAUGUUGGCAUAUACAUCGGCUCAUGCCAUUCCAUUUUCUCGAAUGUUUUGGGCAUGAAAUGUGUGGCAGCGAAGUUUGUUCUGAAAUUGCCAUCAUUGAUGAGAUCAAGUCAGAAUCGAAGAAAGAACUGAUGGCCAUACCAAAGAGCGCACUUCAGAAGUGCUUCGAAGAUUGGAAAAAGCGUUGGCACAAGUGUAUUUUAUCCGAGGGAUCUGACAAGGCCGUUAACACGUCAAAAAUAAAAUGUUCAUAUUUUAAACAAAACCGGUCGUCUGACUAAUUGAGUUUGCGGUUCUUACUAGUUGUAAAUUAGCUUAUAACUUGCUGGUUUUACUGUAGGGUUGCCAAUAAAUAAAAUAUUGAAAAACAUUUUAACGGCAUAUAAUAUUAUAAUAAUAAUAAUAAUAUUUAAAGAAAAUAAUACAAAAAUAUUGAAAGCCAACAAAAGAAAACAUUGUAUAAAUUAAUUGGUCACGUUAGAUCGCGAAAUAAAUAUACGCAAAUCUCGUUAAUCGUUAUGUUAGUCACGUGCUAUCAAGUGCAAUUCAGCGACAAAUGUUACGAAUUUCUUAUAAAUAUUUACAUAUCGCAUACAAACAUAUUAUAUCAUAUAUAAUAGUGCAUUUAUUUUGUGGGGAUGUGUACUAGAUAUCCAUAGAUUUAUUACAUAUGUAUAUAUAAGUACAUAUGUAUGUACAUACAAUAUAUGAACUUAGUAUGUGGUGUAAAUUGUUUGCAUUUUCGCAUGCGCAAAUUUUUAUUUUGAAACAAAAUAUAGCAAAAUAGAAUUGAAUUGCAAAUAAACGAAUGUCAAUGUCAAUGAGCUCAGGUUUUGGUCAUGGCCAUUGAAGUGGAGGCGUAGCAUCAGUAGAAAUUAAAGUAAGCAAAAAUUCAGAAAACAAAUUAGAAAUGCAUAUGUAUUUAUGAACAUAAAUGCUUAAAAUUUUAAAUAAAUAGUCGGAAUAGCACUGGGGAUUAUGUCAAUCUGAUGCCUCCAAACCUUAAACAAAUUUUAAAUAAUUUGCAUUAUGGGAAAUACUCUUCGACAAUUUUAUACUUUCAUAUGACAGUAAGCAAGGUCAAAGAUAAUCUGCAAUUUGUCCGCAAACACGCUUUUUCUUAAGAUACACCUUGUUAUUGUAGAGCACAUUAUUUUGGAAGUAUCCCGAUAGUACAAAUUACAUUGCGAAUGGAUCCGUACUUGAGACCUCGCAAGGUGACAAAGUAAUAUAGGCUCAUCUGGAUGAACUUUAUGAAAAGGGUCACUAAAAUUAUAUAAACUUAAAAAUACCAUUUAAAACAGCGACACGUCUUUCAUCUUUAUGAAAGUAUACAAAAUACUAUAAAGGACGAAUCAUGCCUCGAAGCUGAUCUGGUAAAAUCAGUAAAAUGUAGAAAAUUCUGAUGCUCCAAUUUUUGAUCGUUUGCAUAUAUUUUCUAAUCGACUGAAUCAAAGAAUCUUCAUUUCUAUGCCGUAUGUUAUAAUGAGCUAAGCCUUUUGUGGCCGAUGAUUAAGCGACUGUUGCCUCCAUAAUAUAACAUUAAAUGGAAUCGGACUUUGGUCUUCUAAAAAUUGUAUCCUCAAUGAAACGGUCUCGGAGACUGUGCAGGACUGGAGGGAAGGCAACACUUGACUUCAUGCCUAUCAUGUCGAUAUUUUUAUACUCUUACAACAUGUUGCUGCAGAGUAUAAUAGUUUUGUUUGAGAUUAUUUUAAAGCAAAAAGUGCACAAAUAAAUUACAGUCGAAGGCAAAUAUUAUGUACCUAAAGGGAAAACGCGAAAUUGAAAGUGAACAAGUAAACAGCAAAAAGAAAAAACGAAAGAGAUAAAAUGUGUUAUGUUAGAGAACAAACGACAUAAAAACGUGAAUGGAAUGGAUAACAAUCAAAUUUGGUAUCUUAUUAAGUUAUAUUGAAAAUCCUUUUAAAAUCAUCCUCAAAUGCGAAAUAUGUGAUAUAAACUUUAAAAUAAACCAAAGAGGUAAAAUUUAAUAUAUUGAGUUAUGUAGAAAACGUUACCCAGAGGAUCGAAAUUCUUUAUAUUAGGGAUAUGAGAUUUGGAUCAAUUCCAUUAAUUUUCAGUGGUAACCCACAUAAUUUUCAAAGAAUCUUGUACAUUUAAUUUCAAAAAUUAUCACACAUUUUGAGCAACCUAUGGUUGCUUGACGGUUUAAAGGUCAAGUGGAAAAUCGGAAAUUAUUACAUUGCUCAGGUAUACUUAAGAACAUAUUUUCAACCAAUUUUAUAAAUACAUACAUAUAUAACUUACAUACUGAACGACAUUUUCAUCGUAAGGCUUGUUAGAAAAACGAAAAUAGAAGUGGGGAUAAUUCGUUUGUAUGGUAUAAAGCCAGCCGGAUGUUUAAAAAUUGUUUUUAGGUAUAUUGGUUCCUCUUUGGGUUUCAUCGAAGAUAGUGAAAUAAUGUGAUGAUCUCUUUGCAAUGGGUUCCAGGACAUAGUUAUAUAUAUAUAGUAUAUGUUAACUGUGAAGCAGAUGAACUAGCCAGAGAUGGCACCGCCCUGCAAAUAGACUUCGAUAAAGAGGGAAUAUAUGUAUGUGUAUUCCUUUGGAUACUUGUGGAUAUUUAAUCGACAAAUAUGUUAUAGAAAUGCUUAGGUGGAGACAGUCCCUGACUUGCUCAACAAGAAGACAAACGUGGCAUGAAUGGAAUAUGGGCCGCACAUUUCGACUAUUAAAAUUCAAAAGGUAUAACAUAAGAACUCUUGUAGGAGUGCUAACAGGUCUCAUUGGCAGACCUGCCAGCAGAUUGACGACUUUUGUAGAAGCUGCGAAGAGGUAGAAGAGAAGAGACAUUUUCUUUGCGAAUGCAAAGCAUCGUAUAGGAAAAGAAUCGCAACUAUCGGUCGAGGGUUCCUGGCGAUGUCUCUAAAGUUGUAGAUAUCAAACUUUUUGUAUUGAUUAUAGGACAUAUGAGGGGAUUUUAAAGGCCUAUGUGCGUCGUUACAUAUCAACCUUACCUACUUACCGCCCUCUUCGCGCCGUUUUUCUUCAAAUCAGCGUCCGACCCAUAUUUCGACAUAGUAUAGCCUUGUGACCAGUUUGUGAUAGUCAAUGUGGAUCACAAUUUAUGCAUCUCAAAAAACGGUGCUCAUCACCUUUCCGACCAAUAAGACAGUCUUCGUCUUUUUCGCAGCUUGUUUGGCACUGCCUUGGCCGCUAUCGUACAUAUGUGCAACUACAUAGCACGCAUGCAGCUGAAUAGCAAGCAGAAGAAUGAGACUGGCAACGAAUGCAAUGCGCUCUUGUUGUUGUUGUAAAUUUAUAUAACAACAUCGCAUUUUAUAUUUUAUUGCUGAUUCCGAGAAAAACAACACUAUGCAUAGCAACAGCAACAACAAAAACAACGUCAAGUGAAAAAGUAAAGUUUGAACACUUAAAAAAAAAUAAUAAAAAAAAGCCACAACUAAAAGACAGGCGGAAGGCACAAACACGAAUGUACCUACAUAUAUCUGUACAUGGCGAAACACCCAAGAGCGUCGGUGCGCUCGCCACAGGAAACGCGAAAUGUGCCUGCUAAUCAAUGCAGUCGCCGCGCGCUCUUACCAGGCUGCAUCGGUGUGGCGCAAGUGAGUAAAUGUGAAAUUCUCAAAUUUGCGUUCGAAAACAGAGACAACAAUUGUGCGCGAGCGCUUCGUUUGAGCGACCGCCGAGGCAUAGGACAGAUGGGACGCCACAUAAUCAUAAACGCAACGCUAUCAAUGAAAGCAUACAUUUCCAUAUAUAUGUAUAAAUGUAUGUAUAUAUAGCACCGGUGUUGUGUCGCAUAAGAAUGCGUGACGCGACCACAAUGCAGCGACCUCGACACCGGAAAUCGUCAACAACAUCGUCGAUUGUUGCGAAUUUCCUGUCUCACUUGUGGCACAACUUGUGCUAAACACUGUAUGUGCGAAACAAGUUUAAACAUGCCAAUGCUCGGAAUGUGAAUUUUUAAUACUUACAGGCAUACUAACAUAGGAGUAUUUUAUUUGGUAGAGACGCAUGCAAAAGUACAAAAUAUGAAUAUGUGGAAGAAAUUAAAUAUACAUUUAUUAAACAAUUGGAGGGUAUCUUCAUUUGAUAAUUAACAAAAGCAUAAUUUAAUUAAAUUGCCUAGAAUAAUUGUGUAAAUAUUAUUCUAUUUCGACUUUUACAUUACAACAUUAAACAAAUUUCUUUUCUUUGAUCCUUUACACACCGAGUAAGAGCAGUCUUACUGCGUCUUACCCAAAUGCAGUGACCAAUAUUCGUAAAUCGGGCUACUAUAGUCUAUUGCAGAGUGUAACUUCAAAGCUACUAUAUCCUUUUUACACCUUAUCUACUUGUUAAACUUAUGGUUCACAUUUUGAAGCCAAUAUUAUAAACCUACAAACAGAUUAUAUUUGAUAAACAUAGCUGUCUUGGAUUCGCCAUUUCUUUGCCCGCUUUUGCUCUUUUGUUAGAAAAAUUACAUGUAAAAGCAACUAAAAAAGUUAUCGAGAUGAAUGCGUACAAAAGAGACAUUCCUUAUAGUAGUGGUACAGACGCUAUCUCAAAGCAACCAAGUUGUAUUUUGCAUAUUUUAGAUCAGUUUUACUGUUGUGAAUCGUUCAAAUGACAAAUAAAUAUACAAAUAUCUAUAUUUCUUGCAUUUUUAAAACUUAAGACUUAAAUCAACUAUAGUAAUUUAUAGAAAACCGAAACCGAAACUACAUUUUCCCUACAGGGUAUCUGUAUGUUGUUUCUAAAUUUUUCAAAUAAAAAUUGUAAAUUUUUCAACUCAAAACUUUAAUAACCGUAGUAAAUGUAUAUAUGAAUAUUUGAAACACUGAUUUUAAUACAACAUAUCAACGCUGACAAUUAUAAUUUAAUGUAACAACAUUCUAAGGUGUGUUAUUCCAAAUGAAACGCAAUUUUUCGACUCGUUAACCUAUUGAAAUGUACAAAAUCACGACUUGUUGUGCUACGAGGCUCCAAAUAUGGACGCAUUCAUUCAGUGUUGGCCCAUUAACAGUCAAACAAGCUGACAUUUUUCAACCAUAUCGGUUGAGCUCGUAGAAAAGUAACGCUUUACGAAAACACUCAUAUUACACGCUGGUACAAGUUAAAGAAUUUCUGCGUUUUAGUUCUGCGUCAGUUUUAGAUAAGCAUUCACUAGUCUUGAACUAGAAUCAAACUAAUCUGAAAAACAUUAGUUUCUAACUAAGAUUUUCAACUGAAAAUUAACUAGUCCAAAAGUACCCAGGCUUGUUCCGAUUAUAAAAUCAAUUUUUGUUAAGUAAUUUUUGCUGACUCUAAGUAUGUAUUUUAUUAAGAGGUGUGUGCUAUCGAAUUUCUCCUGGAGCGGUCUACACCUAGGCAACUGAUUCUCACGGAUUUGCGCGGGGGCAAGAUAUUUCUGAACUACAACUCUUACAAUAUCAUAAUAUCAUCAUAAACACAGACGACGGGAGAUCGUUGAUCAUACUUGAUAGGGUUGCAUAUCAACUUUCAUCUUAAUUUAUCGCCAUUAUAAUUUAUUUAGCAAUAUUAGGCAACUAGUUAACUGUCCUGGUAUACAAAUAAGGUAAAACAAUUAGUCGUUAAAUUAUGUACUCAAUUCAGAGUCCAUUUGAGGUCGGUAUUGCAUAUUUGAAUUGCAGUAAAUAUUUGGAAGGCUACUGCUAUAACUAUCUAUUCAAAAAUAAUUGUAUUCACGUUUUUCCAAGAUGCAUUGAAAUAUCGCGUGUUUUCUUCAAUCCAUCGUUUGCGGCCAAUAAAAGCUUGUACUUUCAUUAAUUCGUUAACUUCGGUUGCACCGAAGCUAUAAUACCCUUCACGAAUACAAAAGAUUCCUUACAAGCACUUGAUUGCGAACGUUCAGUUUGCAUGGCAGCAACUUAUAUUAUAUGAUAUAGUAAUCUGAGCUAAAUAAUUUUUUCGAAGAUUGCACCGUUGUUUCAGACAAUAACCCAUGCCAAAUUUCGUUAAGAUAUCUCCUCAAAUGAAAAAGUUGUGCAUACAAUCAAUUUGAUUUCGCUUGUCCAGUUUGUACGGCAGCUAUAUGCUAAAGCAGUCAGAUCGAUUUCUCUAAAACUGAGAGACUAAUUCGAGUAAAAACAGACAGAAAGACAUAAUUAAAUCGACUCAGCUCGUCACGCUGAUCUUUAACCACAUAUACAUAUGUAUGUAUGUAUAUACUUUAUAGGCUCUCCGACGUUUCUUUUUGGGUGUUACAAACAUCGUGGUAAACUUAAUCUGCUUUGUUCAGGAUAUAAAUAUAGGUAUGAGCAUAUUAUAUUUUCUUAUCAGAACACAAAUUUAGUUAGCACGUGUUUUGAGUCAUGCAAAAUCGUCUUAUUCAGCAUUAUUUUGCGCUUAAGUCCAACAUAACUGUAUACUCUGUUGAACAUACUGGUCAGAAAUACAAAAUAUACUUUUUCAACAAUAAGAAACACUCAUACAUUAAUAUGUACAUAUACAUUUGUAGGGCAUGAGUUUGAUAAAACCUCAGGUUUAUUAUCAAAUACAAAAUUAUAUAAAUAGGCAUGUACAUAUGUAUGAACACAAAAUAUACAAGUAAGGAAGGACGAAGUUCGGGUGUAACCGAACAUUUUGUUAAGUAAUAUAAUUUUAUGCCAUCCCUAUAUAGACUUUCCACGAAGGAAUUGUUUCAGAUUUCUGCAAAGGUAGUAGUUGCCGGAAGCCAAAUAUGGUUAAUACGGUGGAUGCUGAAGCAAUUCGUUCUUUAAUUCGUUGAAUUUUGUCAUUGUUAAAACACUUUUGUGAGCAGGUGCAUUGUCUUGAUGAAAAAGUAUUUUUUUUUUUUGCUGCAAACCAGCUCUUUUCUCACCAAUUUUUUCAUCCAGCUGAUCCAAAAAACUGCAAAAAUAUUUAAAGUUGAUUGUUUUACCUUUCGACACAAGAAAUUGGUUUUAUUCUGCUUAAGACGCUUCAAAUUAUGCUGAGAAAUUUGUUUUAGAUACAGUUUUUGUUGAAUUGUUAACGUGUUCGGCACUAGCUUUACAAACAACUUUUCCAUAUGUAAUUCUCCAUAUAAAUUAUUUAGUACUCGUUCAUCUGAGAUGCCUAUGGCAUUAGCAAUUUCACGUUUAGUCACUAACAAUAUUAUGAACUUGAUCAAUGAUUUUUGGGGUAGUUGCGGUUUUUGAUCGUCCUUCGCGUGGAUCGUCUUCAAUCCUAGUACGACCUCGUUUAAAUUAACCAGCCAAAAAUUUAAUACUCGGACACGUCAACUUCAAAUGGCUAAUAAGCUAAUAAUUAAUGACUUGUAACUUUGCAUCUGUUCUCACGACAGAUGUAUCAACUUAAGAAGAAA